CAGGCCCCAGCCCCCACCCGGACAAACCCUAGCCUCACCAAGCCCCACAUCUCGCGCUCCUCCCUCCUCCAUCCUCGUUAGCCGCCGCCGCCGCCGUUCUGCCUCCCUCCUCUCUCCCCUACAACCACGUCGCUGGGAGGAAGCCGCCGUUCGUGUCGCCAUGCCGCUGCCGGGGUGUUGCGCACGCUUCGUUCCCCACAGCCCCUCCCUCAUCCCCGCUCAUCACCGCCGCUGCCUGCUACUCCCGGGGCGGCCGAGCGCCAACGGUGCGGCAAUGGCUGUUCCAGGAGGCGAGGGCGAGGGCACGGGCGUUGGGCGUUGGGUGCGUGGACAAGGAGGGAGGAGUCAACUUGAGGGAGGAGAUGAGAGAGGUGAGGGUUGGCAGCGAUUGCAGGGAGAGGAGGAGGAGUCUGGAGGCAACGGACGAUUUUUUUAGGGUGGUUGGCGACCUACAGCCUACAGGCAACGUCUGUAGCAGCAGCAGGCGACCUGCAGCAGCUCCUUCCUACCUUCCAUGGACGAGCUCUUCGGAGACGCCGUCCAGCCCGACCACGGCCACGACUACCCCACGCACAAGAGGAAGGUUGAUUCAUUUGUCAAAUUCAUUCCACCGAAGCCAUCUGCUCCGUCCACCAACCCGCCCAGAAAGGUAGUUACAGUGAAUUGAUGUUCGCACUGAGGCCGGAGGCGAGAGGCGAGGGCACGGAGGUCGGUGGCAAGUGCUCAGGAGAGAAGAGGAAGGCGGCGGCGCUGGGCGGUGGCUGCGGUUUACAUGAGAGGGAGGUGACCCGCCCAGAAAGAUUGCUGAGAAGCGCAACCUUUUGAUCUUCGAGAAGCGCAACCUUUUGAUCUUCGAGAACCGCAAGUUUGCUGACAUUGAAAACACAUUCAUUAUGCAAGAUGAAUGGUGAGAAAUGUGUUAUUCCCUAUCCUUCCAUUCUAUUUGCAUAUUCGCGCAGUAUGCUUAGUUUUUUCCUUUCAAGAUGAAUAUUCUACACAUGAGAGCAAUAUACUUGGUAUUAUUCAUGCUCAUAUAAUUCCUGGACCUGGAAUUGUUGAUGGCUUGAGGCUUAAAGUAUGUUAUGUGUUGCAUACCUAAUAAAUAUUAGCAAGCUAAUGUUGCAGCUUGACAGAUGCUGUGAUAACUUCUCCUUUUUCUGUUUGUUAAUAUCCACUUCGAACUGAGCAGCCAUGAUCCGGAUUUCCUCUAUGUAGCUAUGAGAUGCAUGCAGUUCGUUAUUGUGUAUCGUGUGCUAAAACAUUGAUUAUUUGACAAUGAACACAUGGCAAUGCCUUAACUAUUCAACUUGCCUAGCUCAGUAUUUUAACCAAUAGAGAAGUUUUUUUGUUGCUUUCCCUUUUGUUAGAUAUUUUGCUUUUUGUAUGUUGAGGGGAGAUGGAUAUGGCCUCAGGACUAAACGCACAAACCACAUGAAGUGAUCUGAUGGUAGGUAAAGUAUUUUUAUUGGCAAUGCUAAUGUCUGGACCAGCUCAAUGGUUUUAACUCUAUGAUGUUCUGUUUAACAUAUCACAUGUACAAAUGCAUAUAUACAAAUUGUGGUAGGCAACUCACUAUUUAGACGACACGACUAUUCUCUUGAUAAGGAGAGUCCCACCAUACUCAUGUGAGAGUUAGGCGUGGUAGUGGGUAGUGUUUUCUCAUCAUCCAUUAUGUGUUUCUUCUGUCUAGCUCGAAGUUGCUUAGUUAGAUAAUGAUUCGCAAAUUCCAGCAUUGCAUGUUGCCUGACACUUUUGCAUUAGCAUUGAAUUGCAUCCUGCAUUUUUGCAGCCCGCGAGGCGUGUAAAUGUUGGACUAUUGUUUCUCCGCUGAUGCACAUGUUUCGCCACAGAGACAGUACUCUGUGUGUGUGUGAUCUCUGGAAUUAGUUUUUAUGUUUCUCUUUGUUGAGUACUUUUGUAAUCUCCACGGGUGUGUUUCGUAUUUUCUAUGUAUCCUCUGUCAUUCUUUUAAGUGUUUAAUGUUUUCUUUUGUAGUUUUGAUAUUUAGGUGCAGUCACGUUUCAUUUGUCGCAUACCUGCACCCGUUAGGAAAAUCAUAGUUUCAUUUCAAUCAUGUUUCUUUAAGUUGUUCAGUGUUUGUUCAUUAUGUAGUAGAGUAAGCAGUACAUUCUGUCCAUCAGUUAAAUCACUCAUGUCACAUUCAGUUGAUUGAUUAGGUUUAGUUUUUGUUCAUUUCUCUUUGUUCCUUCAGUUUUUUGUUCCUUUAUUUAGUCAUUGUGCUUGCAUCAUUUGCCAGUAUUUUAGUCCAUCUCAAUAGACCCCUAUGAUUCUUGAUAGUUUAUCUCUUUCGUAGAUCAGACUUUUCCACUUUGUUAGUUAGGCUAAUUUAUGCUUUUUUCAGUUUUUAGUCUUUACAUGAUUUAGUUGGACAAUGUUUUUGGUAUUUCAAUAGUUCAGUAGUUUCAUACUUUCAUUUAAUUAAAUAGUCUUGUUUUUAGUCUCAGUACUUCAGGUUUAGUUUCCAAACAAGUACUUUUUUACUCAUGUGGGUUUCGGUCUUUUGACUAUAUGUGGUUUUCAAUCUUUUCAUCUCUUGGUUUACUUGUCAUUCUUAAUUUAUCCGCCUUACUAUUCUCAGUCUUGUUUUUUAUUGAGAGACACAACCUUUUCAAUACACUUCUAUUUUAAUUUUUCAUAACAACGGCUGUUUUUUUGUUGCAACUUUGACUCUAUGCUAUUAAAGUAAACCAAGUAUAUUAAAAUAAACCAACUAUAUUCAUAUAUGCCUCAGUAAUUGGUACAGCCGAUUUUUAUCGAGAGAGACAACAUUUCAAAACACUUAUAUCUUCAUUUUUCAUACCAACGAAUAUUUUUUGUGCUGACAUGUGAGUUAAUUAUUUGGAAAAAAUAUAAUCAUGUAUGUAUUGCCAACAAUUUUUAUGUUUAAAGCAACCAAUUUUGUGAAAAGAGUGGAGAGAAAGAUACAUGUGCAAUUUCUCGAUGUUACAGCGGAUGGAUGCUAGAUCUUUAAACAUAAGCACAGAUGAAUAGGUACAAAUUCGAGGAAAGGCCAAUGAAAUAGUUGUCUGUACACAUAUGUGCCAGUUUUAUACCUGGUUGUCUGGUUGCAUUAUUUGUCCGGUUUCAAUUCAGUUUGAGUAGAUUGUUAUCCGUGAGCGAUACUUGCCACUAUUUGUACCCAUGCACCAAUUUACAUACCUAUUUUAGGCACAGAAACCAACCAUGACUGAAAAUUAUGUAUAUAUAAUUUACUAUGAUUCAUGGUGAGAAAAUCAUGAUUUAAUAAACGAAAGGUGGUUUGUUUUGCUAACAGUACUGAGUAUAAAUGUAAAUCGCAGAUCGUACGCUGCUGCUACGGGCUCCAUGUUGUUUAUGCUAGACAACACAAUGGUGCUUGUGUUAUCUAUAGUUGAAGUCGCAGUUUAAUAUUCUUUGCUUUAUGCUUGUGUUAUAUGUGGUUGAAGGGACAUCCUUGUUAGUUUGCAUGGUCUAUGUAAGAAGGGGCAGUACAAUGCUUCUCAAGGUUGUUUAUAUUUUGAUGGCUGUUGAAUUCUGGACAAUGGAGAUGUGAAUUUGUUACGUACAUAGGUACUAGGCAUAGGAUACUUUACUCAUUGAUGACAUGUAGUUUUAGAGAACUUCUAAAAAUUCCAAUUCAGGUUUUCUGUGUUCCAUUCAGGAAGAACGCAUAGUCUGCACUGGGGUAUAAAAUUAUCUACUACUUACCUUUGUGUCUCGACAUAUGAUUGUGAUGCAUCGUGCUGCCAGAGGCCAACAUUAUCCAGUAUCAUAGCGAUGCUAAAAAUGACUAUUGGUUACUCCGCAUAUUCUCAUCUGAUUUCUCAUAUAUAGAUAUUAAUUUCCUUUCAUGGGAGGCCUUCAUUACAUUUCAGCGGCGGUUGCGGAUGUGAUUGGCGGUUGAGGGAGGGUCUCCGACUAGAGCAGCAGGAGCAAGGUGCUCGAGGAAGUUCAGGACAAUUUUCUGGAUUAAUAUCUAUACUGGAGAUCUAGGAGUCCACCCGAAUUCAGUCUCCAAGAAGCCGUUCAUCCAGGAUCCACCAAAGUUCAAAUGAUAUGUGAAAAGCGUGUGCUAGAUGUGGCCCCUAUCCAGCGUUUUGACCGGUCCACUCAGGUGCUUUUGUCUAGGUGGUAACACAACAAGCUGCUUAUAUUAUAGAAACUUAUUAUACGUACAUUCGUAUGUUCAUUCUGCUUGCAUGUUAGAGAAAGAGCUUCUGCCCCUAUGUGAGUAAUCCUAUGGGAAUUAGCAACGUUGGUUGUACUUUCAAGCGGGCUGAAUCUAAUGCAAGUUUUUGGAGCAGUUGGGUUCCAGAACAAACGACUAGGUAUUCCCAAAGAGGUCAUUCCACUGGUGGCUAGCAUAAUAUCUUCAUGUCGGGACAACGAUCCAAGCAAGCAACCAUCAUUCUACCAGCUCUUGUCAUCGCUGAAGAAAUUACAGUGGUUACAUUGUUACAGAAAGCCUAUGACAAUUUGCGAGUGUUUGUGCAAUAUACUGGUUUUAUGGCAGGUGCAUGUAUGAAUUCAGAUGGUAGUGGUCUCCUUGUUUAUAGUUAUAAGAAUAAUAAAAAUAUUGAUAAUGGUCUUUCCACUAUUACAAUCUCAUAGAUUACAUUACCUGCUUCCAUUAGAAAGGAAUUGUGGCUCACAACCGUUUUUUAUUGAGAGACACAACCUUUUCAAUACACUUCUAUUUUAAUUUUUCAUAACAACGGCUGUUUUUUUGUUUCAACUUUGACUCUAUGCUAUUAAAGUAAACCAAGUAUAUUAAAAUAAACCAACUAUAUUCAUAUAUGCCUCAGUAAUUGGUACAGCCGAUUUUUAUCGAGAGAGACAACAUUUCAAAACACUUCUAUCUUCAUUUUUCAUACCAACGAAUAUUUUUUUGUUCCGGCUUUCACUCUAUGCUAUUAAAAUAAAUCAACUACUUUAAGAUAAACCGGCUAUAUUAUAUCUUUUUUCCUUAGGUUUCUUAUCUUUCCCCCUUUUUUUUCCAAGAAAUAUAUGCAUGCCCAAGUUUUUC
rnacentral:rRNA from 1 species